AGCCAGGUGGUGUAGCGGUCAAGCAUAGGGGCCUCUGGAGCCUCGGACAGCAGUUCGAAUCUGCUCCUGGCUACCA
rnacentral:tRNA from 1 species